UAAGGGACGGUCGGGCCGGGCGGCCGGAGGGGUCCAGGAGGUGGUCCCGCUGGACAGUAAAGUACCGCGGGGAGCCAGGGGCAGGUUUCCGUGUUAAGGUAGCUUUGAGGAACAGGAGAGCUGGGAUGAAAUUGCCAGGUGGGAAGCAGUGAGGGGUGGUGAGGGUAUUGGGAUGUUCCUGUGGCACAAAGCAAUGGUGAAGGAUGCACCUCUCCCUGGGGGGAACCGUGCUGCUGGUAUCGGGGUGUGCAAGGCGUAGAGUGUCCCUCCCAAGGGAGGGACCGAGCAGGGCAUUUCUUCCUGGGAAGAGAUAACAUGCACUAUCCCUAAACUCUGGAGGUCCACUAGAAGUUAAAGAUCGAGUGUUUUGCUCUGGCUUCAUCGCCUGGGUUUGUUCUCUUGAAGUGCUGAGAAGCAUGAACUCUGAUGGGAGGUUCUCCACAAGAUGCAGGAGAUUUGUAAACCUGUCCUCCAGUGUGUACCUGGUACAAUGGUUGUGUCCUCACCUGUAAGAGCCGGGCUAUGUCUUUCCAUGGACAGGACUGCUGACUAUAUUUUCUCACUACCCUGUAUCCUAUGGAACAUGCUUGAUGACACACAGUGACAUCUGUUCAUACAGAGGAGAGAUUUUAUCACUGCAGAUCUUGGAGUCUUCCCCGGCAAGUGCUCCAGCCAUACCACCCAAGUGACAGACAACAAAGGCAGGGACUGAGAGAAUGCAGAACCACCCACUGUACAAGAAGAUCAGGUUUGAGAACAACUAAGGCAUCUGAAGGUGCACAAGGUCAUGGGACCUGAUGAGAUACAUGCGUGGGGCCUGAGGGAACUGGUGAGGGAA